rnacentral:rRNA from 1 species
UACGUAGGGUGCAAGCGUUGUCCGGAAUCAUUGGGCGUAAAGCGCGCGUAGGUGGCUUCGUAAGUCCGUUGUGAAAGUCAAAGGCUCAACCUUUGAAUGCCGAUGGAUACUGCGAAGCUAGAGUACGGAAGAGGCGAGUGGAAUUCCUGGUGUAGCGGUGGAAUGCGCAGAUAUCGGGAGGAACACCGGUGGCGAAGGCGGUUCUCUGGGCCUUACCUGACGCUGAGGAGCGAAGGCCAGGGGAGCAAACGGGG